GAUGAACGCUGGCGGCGUGCCUAAUACAUGCAAGUCGAGCGAACGGACGAGAAGCUUGCUUUUCUGAUGUUAGCGGCGGACGGGUGAGUAACACGUGGAUAACCUACCUAUAAGACUGGGAUAACUUCGGGAAACCGGAGCUAAUACCGGAUAAUAUUUUGAACCGCAUGGUUAAAAAGUGAAAGACGGUCUUGCUGUCACUUAUAGAUGGGUCCGCGCUGCAUUAGCUAGUUGGUAAGGUAACGGCUUACCAAGGCAACGAUGCAUAGCCGACCUGAGAGGGUGAUCGGCCACACUGGAACUGAGACACGGUCCAGACUCCUACGGGAGGCAGCAGUAGGGAAUCUUCCGCAAUGGGCGAAAGCCUGACGGAGCAACGCCGCGUGAGUGAUGAAGGUCUUCGGAUCGUAAAACUCUGUUAUUAGGGAAGAACAUAUGUGUAAGUAACUGUGCACAUCUUGACGGUACCUAAUCAGAAAGCCACGGCUAACUACGUG
rnacentral:rRNA from 1 species